rnacentral:sRNA from 1 species
CCGUCGUUCUUCAAAUAAAUUAAAAAAUCUAAAAAAAAUAAACAUAAAGACGUUUUAUUUUAAUUUGCACCAACUUGGUACUGAAUUAAACAAACAUUAUGCGUUUAUUGACAUUCUGUCCACUUCAUACAAGAUGUUAUUUAGCUCAUUGUAUAUUUUGUUUAUAUCUAUUUUUAUCUAUUGUAAAGAUAGACACUUAAACUACCGAAAACACCUAUUUUUAAGGUCUGCCUUAGGGACCGACAGGAUGUCAUAACAAAGAUAAAUCCCAUAUAAUCAAUUUUGACCAGUCUGGCCGUCUGUCUAAUCCAAUUGAAAACAGCCCAUAGAUGGCGCUCUCGGUUCGUGGUGCCGUCUCCAUUUAAUUGAUCCAAUUGAAAACAGCCUAUAGAUGGCGCUGACUUAAAUGCUAGUGAUACUCGCUUGAAGUGGUUUAACGCCUAUAACAUUAAUCAUCAUGUGGUAGUUGUCUCUAAUUGUCUUUAUGACUACCUAUUAAAUAGUCAUCAUUUUGUCUUUUUUUGAAUCAAAUCAAAUUGUCAAAAUAAACGA